CUUUUUAAAAUUGGGGGAAAAAGCUUUCCCUUUGUCUCUCCUCUGGGGAGAGGAGACACAUUUCAGCAAUGCUAUAGGAAGCUUUAAGCCAGGUAUGGAAAAUCAUCAGAUCGUACCUAGAACUACUUAUGUGAAACCCCAGAUAUGUUUAGAAAAUUUCCCACACUCUAUAAUGCCCAGCAGACAAAUCUUUGACUCUCAACGAAGAAACCAUGUGAUGAACCUGCUGCCUAUAAUAUAUGCAGAAAGCCUGGAGAGAGGCUGCUAAUGAAGACAAAUGAAGGAGAAAGAACUUGACCCCAGAGUAUGAAAUGUAGCUCAUUAAGUUGUUUCCAAUUGGCUUGCUGAUAACUUUUUGAUGUAGACAAUGUAAUUAAUGACAGGAAAUAAUGCUACAGGAUAUGAGUUGUGUGGGGUGCAGUGCAGCAAAUCUACUCUUUAUUAUGUAUCAGUUUAUUUAUACACACUUAUAUUGUUACGGCUUUGUAAGAUGCAGUGACAACCUUCACAUGGAAUUUCCUUGAUUUAAUUGUUUUAGUCCAUCCUGAGGUAUUUUGAGACUUUUUUUUUUUGUUUUGGUAUGUAAUUUCCUGAUGUUUUUAGGUUGUAUGAGGAUAUAAUUGCAGUGUCAGGAGUGUCAGCAUGUGAAGCAUUUCUUACAAUGGAAUUAGCCAUUCAAGUGAAUUGCAUUUCCUUCCUAUACAUUUGGAGGGGGUUUUGGCUCUGGCAUUGCCACAAAAUUAAUUGUGGUGGAUCUCCUACAUUCUCUCAGUGGAAACUCCCACUAACAUUACUGCUUUCUUCACCAGAAGGCAAUAAGCAUAUUCUGAAAUUUUCUUAACAGAUUUUUAGGAGGUGUAAAAGUUGAUAGAAUGUUGUUUUUUUUGUUUUGUUUUUUGGUUUGUUAAAUGCUAGCUCCCACUGGAAAUGUAAGUGCCCUAUGGCCUGAUCCAAAGCAUCAUAAAGUAAAUGGGAAUACACUGGGCUUUGUUUGGAUCAAGCCUCUAGGCCCAGAUUCACAAAAGUAUUGAGAUGCCUCACUCCCACUGAGAUUAGUGGGAGUUAAGUGCCUAAAUGCCUCUUUGAAUUUGGACCCUAGUGUCUAAUAAAUUUGAAACAGGAGUUUGUAUCGUCUAAAUAAAAACAAGCAAAUGCUAUUGAGUAGUGUGAAACCAUUCCUGGCAUUAAUUUUGGACCUGAUCCAGUAAACAUGUAUGCAUGUGAGUAAAGUUACUCACAUAAGUCGUGCUACUAAAGUGAUAGGAUAGCUUGUCUGAGUUAAGUUACUCAUAUGUUCAAAUAUUUGCAGGAUCAGGCCAUUGCUGUGAGUGGUGUACUGGGGUGUUUUUUUUUUUUUUUUAAACUAAGCCAUGCUAAUCUAGAACAAGAUAAAUGAAGGAAAAGGGCCUUGACUCCAGAUGAAGAAAUUUAGCUUAUUAUGAGAAAAAGCUCCGUAAUUGACAUAGAAUUAACUGUUGGUACUCAAUUAAAACUCUUACUAAUUACUUGUAUAUAA